UAGUUACUUUUAUUUACUUGUGUAAAUGAUUUCUUACGUAGAUGAUUUGACUCCAUUAUACUUUUUUUCUUACUUCUGAAUUGGGAUUGAUUCGUCUCCUUUUUAUUUGUGAGUUACUCCUUGUUGCAAGCUCUGUUUGAAACAAAUCAACUAUUGGAUCAAGACUGAAGAUGAGAACCUAACUAUGUAGCUGCAGAGGUUUAUGAAGUUGGUUUAUCAUUUGUUUCUCAGUCUAUGUUUACAACUGUCUUUCUUGAUGUUAUAGUGCAUAGACAUGCUCCAAGUUGUUACAUUUUGUGGUGCCAUAGAACCAGAGCUUUUGCAGGGGAGAAGAAGUGGAAGAUUACUGAGAUCAAGUCAUGAUUAGAAGAAGCUGAUGUCUUGAUCUGGAAAAUGGAUCUUGAGGCUAGAAGUUUGCAGUCAAGUGCUAAAGCUGUAUGUCUUUCUAAACUAAAAGACCGUAAAUUGAUGGAAUUCAAACGAGCGUAAAUUGAUCUGAACCAAUUGAAAAAGGAAUUCAAACGAGUCUCGUCCCUGGCGAAUUGAUGGAAUCCAGAGUGGCGGAGGUAUCUGCUGAUCAAAGAGGAAGAUUGGCAAUGUCAGUGAAGAGGCUUGACCAAUCAAAAGACAGAGUCAGGGAGAUUAGAAGACUAAUGCUGGAGACAGAAGAGGUUGGCAUCUCAGUUUUCCAAGAUCUGAAUCAGCAAUGCCAAACCCUUCUUCAUGUGCACACCAAGGUACCGCAAUUACUCGAAUUGCUUUUGGUAUCUAUCAGUGCCAGUGAUUUACUAUCAUUAUGGGAGAAGAGUCGAAGAAAAUUUCCACAAAUCACAUUUUUCAGGUUGUGAAAAUUGAUGGGUGUGUGAUUGGUGACGGAAAAGUUGGGCGGGUAACAAGAACACUGCAAAACGCUUACAAGAAAAGACAGAGGAUUCUGGUGUGCCAAUACCUACUUACCAAGAACCUUGAAGUACAAAACGAGAGGAUUUGAACACGAGGGAACUUAACCAAAAGAAGCAUUCAACGUUCACAUUCAGUUUAUUUUUGAUGUGAGACAUACAGAAAGCCUGAGAGGAUUUGGAUUCCAGGAUCAUA